CCGUCGAUAGCUCAGUUGGUAGAGCGGUGGACUGUAGAAUUAGAUUCACGAAGACAGUGAAAGUCGUGAAUGAUAUGUGCAAGGUAUCCAUAGGUCGCUGGUUCAACUCCGGCUCGACGGA
rnacentral:tRNA from 1 species